rnacentral:rRNA from 1 species
CCUCAAAUCAGGUAGGACUACCCGCUGAACUUAAGC